rnacentral:lncRNA from 1 species
CACUAAAACCGCCGUCGAUAGCCUGCACGUGCUGCCCAAACCAAGCCGGAUCUGCCUCCUGCUCUUCCCAGAGCUGCUCUGUGUGCCUGCAGGGAGGGGGCUGAGGCUUUCCUGUCCCCGGGUGUUCCUCCAGGCAAAGUGCCAGAGGAAGAGGAGCAGCAUGGAGAGACUUCCAAAGAUAUGAGACAUGAGGCACAGUGACAGAAUCAUGAAAUGUUGUGAGCACCAUAAGCAAAGCAGGAUGGCCAUGGCUGAAGUCUCAGUGAAUUUCUCAUGUGUGGGACUCCUGUGUUACUGCAGCCCUGGAAAAUCCCCUUCUGCCAGUGUGCAUCCUUUCUACAUCACCACAGACUGCCCAGCAUGUUCCCCAGACCUCCAUCUAUUGAGAUGACCUGGCACAGCUAAAAGCCCUUAGC